UACGUAGGGUGCGAGCGUUAAUCGGAAUUACUGGGCGUAAAGCGUGCGCAGGCGGUUGGUUAAGUCUGAUGUGAAAGCCCCGGGCUUAACCUGGAAAGUGCAGAGGGGACUGUUCAGCUAGAGGAUGGGAGAGGAGCGCGGAAUUCCCGGUGUAGCGGUGAAAUGCGUAGAGAUCGGGAGGAAGGCCGGUGGCGAAGGCGGCGCUCUGGAACAUUUCUGACGCUGAGGCUCGAAAGCGUGGGGAGCAAACAGG
rnacentral:rRNA from 1 species